UACGUAGGGGGCUAGCGUUGUCCGGAAUCAUUGGGCGUAAAGCGCGCGUAGGCGGCCCGGUAAGUCCGCUGUAAAAGUCAAAGGCUCAACCUUUGAAUGUCAGUGGAUACUGCCGGGCUAGAGUCCGGAAGAGGCGAGUGGAACUCCUGGUGUAGCGGUGGAAUGCGCAGAUAUCAGGAGGAACACCGGUGGCGAAGGCGGCUUGCUGGGCCUUACCUGACGCUGAGGAGCGAAAGCGUGGGGAGCGAACAGG
rnacentral:rRNA from 1 species